rnacentral:rRNA from 1 species
AGCGAACGCUGGCGGCAGGCUUAACACAUGCAAGUCGAGCGGGCACUUCGGUGUCAGCGGCAGACGGGUGAGUAACACGUGGGAACGUACCCUUCGGUUCGGAAUAACGCUGGGAAACUAGCGCUAAUACCGGAUACGCCCUUUUGGGGAAAGGUUUACUGCCGAAGGAUCGGUCCGCGUCUGAUUAGCUAGUUGGUGGGGUAAUGGCCUACCAAGGCGACGAUCAGUAGCUGGUCUGAGAGGAUGAUCAGCCACACUGGGACUGAGACACGGCCCAGACUCCUACGGGAGGCAGCAGUGGGGAGUAUUGGACAAUGGGCGCAAGCCUGAUCCAGCCAUGCCGCGUGAGUGAUGAAGGCCUUAGGGUUGUAAAGCUCUUUUGUCCGGGACGAUAAUGACGGUACCGGAAGAAUAAGCCCCGGCUAACUUCGUG